rnacentral:rRNA from 1 species
CUCCUACGGGAGGCAGCAGUAGGGAAUAUUGGACAAUGGGCGCAAGCCUGAUCCUGCCAUCCCGCGUGAAGGAUUAAGGCCCUAUGGGUUGUAAACUUCUUUUAUCUGGGACGAAAAACAGGAAUUCUUUUCUGCUCGACGGUACCAGAGGAAUAAGCACCGGCUAACUCCGUGCCAGCAGCCGCGGUAAUAC